UACGUAGGGGGCAAGCGUUGUCCGGAUUUAUUGGGCGUAAAGAGCGUGUAGGCGGCCAGGUAGGUGGGUUGUGAAAACUGGAGGCUCAACCUUCAGACGUCGACCCAAACCCCCUGGCUAGAGUCCGGAAGAGGAGAGUGGAAUUCCUGGUGUAGCGGUGAAAUGCGCAGAUAUCAGGAAGAACACCCGUGGCGAAAGCGGCUCUCUGGAACGGUACUGACGCUGAGACGCGAAAGCGUGGGGAGCGAACAGG
rnacentral:rRNA from 1 species